CCUACGGGAGGCAGCAGUGAGGAAUAUUGGUCAAUGGUCGGGAGACUGAACCAGCCAAGCCGCGUGAGGGAUGAAGGUACAGAGUAUCGUAAACCUCUUUUGUCAGGGAACAAAGGCGUGGACGUGUCCCCGGAUGAGUGUACCUGAAGAAAAAGCAUCGGAUAACUCCGGGCCAGCAGCCGCGGUAAUACGGGGGAUGCGAGCGUUAUCGGGAUUUAUUGGGUUAAAAGGGUGCGCAGGCGGUCUGUUAAGUCAGCGGUAAAAGCCCGGGGCUCAACCCCGGCCCGCCGUUGAAACUGGCAGUCUCGAGUUGGAGAGAAGUAUGCGGAAUGCGCGGUGUAGCGGUGAAAUGCAUAGAUAUGGCGCAGAACACCGAUUGCGAAGGCAGCAUGCCGGCUCCACACUGACGCUGAGGCACGAAAGCGUGGGGAUCGAACAGGAUUAGAUACCCGUGUAGUC
rnacentral:rRNA from 1 species